rnacentral:rRNA from 1 species
CCAAGUUAAUCCUACCAUUAGUCAUAUGCUUUUCUCAAAGAUUAAACCAUGCAUGUGUAAGCUUGAACUAAUUUAGGUUGUGAAAAUGUGAAUGGCUCCUUAAAUUAGUUAAGGUUUGUUUUAUGGUAUUUACUACUUAGAUAACCAUAGUAAUUUUAGAGCUAAAACAUGCAACAAACCUUAACUUUUGGAAAGAAUGCAUUUAUUAGAUAAAAGGUUAAUGCGGGCUUUGCCCAUUGCUCUAAUGAUUCAUCAUAACUUGAUGGAUCAUACGUCCUUUGUGCCAGUGAUGCAUCCUUCAAAUUUCUACCCUAUCAACUUUUGAUAGUAAGAUAGUGGCCUACUAUAGUGGUGGCAGGUGACGAAGAAUUAAGGUUCGAUUCUAGAGAGAGAGCUUGAUAAACAACUACCACAUCCAAAGAAGGUAGUAGGUGCACAAAUUACCCAAUCUUGAUGCUAGGAAGUAGUGAUAAUAAGUAACAAUACCAAGCUUUAUGAGUCUGGUAAUUGGAAUGAGUACAAUCUAAAUCCCUUAGCAAUAAUCCAUUGGAGAGCAAGUCUGGUGCUAGCAGCUAUGGUGAUUCUAGUUCCAAUAGCAUAUAUAUAGUGUUACAGUUAAAAACUUAUAGUUGGAACUAGGGCUAGGUCAUCCAGUCUACCUCAUGGUGAGCAUUGGUCAACUCAUCUCUACUAUCAGUGAUACACUCUUGGCCUUAACUGGCUAAGUGAUUCCUUUGGCACUAUUACUUUGAAGAAAUUAGAGUGCUCAAAGUAGGCAUAUGCUUGUAUACAUUAGUGUGAGAUAAUGUCAUAGGAUUUUAUUCCUAUUAUGUUAGCCUUUGGGAAUCAGAGUAAUGAUUAAUGGGGAUAGUCAGAGGCAUUCGUAUUUCAUAGUCAGAGGUGAAAUUCUUGGAUUUAUGAAAGAUGAACAACUAUGAAAGCAUUUGCCAAUGAUGUUUUCAUUAAUGAAGAAUGAGAGAUGGGGGCUCGAAGAUGAUUAGAUACUGUCCUAGUCUCAACCAUAAACGAUGUCAACCAGGGAUCGACAAAUGUUACUUUUAGGACUUUAUAGGCAUCUUAUGAGAAAGCAAAGUCUUUGGGUUUAGGGGGAGUAUGGUCGCAAGGUUGAAACUUAAAGGAAUUGUUGAAGGGCACCACUAGGAGUGGAGCCUGCAACUUAAUUUGACUCAACACGAGGAAACUUACCAAGUCCAAACAUAGUAAGGAUUGACAAACUUAUAGCUCUUUCUUGAUUCUAUGAGGGAUGGUGUAUGGCUGUUUUUAGUUGGUGGAGUGAUUUGUUUGGUUAAUUUUGUUAAUAAACAAGACCUCAACCUAUUAACUAGCUACAUGGAGGUGAUACUUUAUAGCUAGCUUCUUAAAGGGACUAUGGCUACUUAGGCCAAGAAAGUUUGAGGCAAUAACAAGUCUGUGAUGACCUUAGAUAUUCUGGGCUGCAUGUGUGCUACACUAAAGUAUUCAAUAAGUCUAUAGCCUUGGCCAAUAGGCCUGGGUAAUCUUUGAAAUUUCUUCAUGAUAGGGAUAGAUCAUUGUAAUUAUUGGUCUUCAAUGAGGAAUUCCUAGUAAGCAUGAGUCAUCAGUUUAUGUUAACUAUGUCCUUGCUUUUUGUACAUGUCACCCAUUGCUCCUAUCAAUUGAAUGGUCUAAAGAAGUAUUCAAAUCAUGGCAACGUGGAUAGUUCACUGUUCGUGACAUGGUGAGAAGUAAACCUUAUCAUUUAGAAUAAGGAAAAGUCAAAAUAAGGUUUCCAUUGGUGAACCUAUAGAAC